rnacentral:rRNA from 1 species
UACCGUGAGGGAAAGGCGAAAAGAACCCCGGCGAGGGGAGUGAAAAAGAACCUGAAACCGUGUACGUACAAGCAGUGGGAGCACGCUUAGGCGUGUGACUGCGUACCUUUUGUAUAAUGGGUCAGCGACUUAUAUUCUGUAGCAAGGUUAACCGAAUAGGGGAGCCGAAGGGAAACCGAGUCUUAACUGGGCGUUAAGUUGCAGGGUAUAGACCCGAAACCCGGUGAUCUAGCCAUGGGCAGGUUGAAGGUUGGGUAACACUAACUGGAGGACCGAACCGACUAAUGUUGAAAAAUUAGCGGAUGACUUGUGGCUGGGGGUGAAAGGCCAAUCAAACCGGGAGAUAGCUGGUUCUCCCCGAAAGCUAUUUAGGUAGCGCCUCGUGAAUUCAUCUCCGGGGGUAGAGCACUGUUUCGGCAAGGGGGUCAUCCCGACUUACCAACCCGAUGCAAACUGCGAAUACCGGAGAAUGUUAUCACGGGAGACACACGGCGGGUGCUAACGUCCGUCGUGAAGAGGGAAACAACCCAGACCGCCAGCUAAGGUCCCAAAGUCAUGGUUAAGUGGGAAACGAUGUGGGAAGGCCCAGACAGCCAGGAUGUUGGCUUAGAAGCAGCCAUCAUUUAAAGAAAGCGUAAUAGCUCACUGGUCGAGUCGGCCUGCGCGGAAGAUGUAACGGGGCUAAACCAUG